rnacentral:rRNA from 1 species
GUGCCAGCCGCCGCGGUAAUACGUAGGGGGCAAGCGUUGUCCGGAAUUAUUGGGCGUAAAGGGCUCGUAGGCGGUUUGUCGCGUCGGGAGUGAAAACGCACAGCUUAACUGUGUGCUUGCUUUCGAUACGGGCAGACUAGAGGCAUGCAGGGGAGAACGGAAUUCCUGGUGUAGCGGUGAAAUGCGCAGAUAUCAGGAGGAACACCGGUGGCGAAGGCGGUUCUCUGGGCAUGUCCUGACGCUGAGGAGCGAAAGUGUGGGGAGCGAACAGGAUUAGAUACCCUGGUAGUCCACACCGUAAACGUUGGGCGCUAGGUGUGGGAUCCAUUCCACGGGUUCCGUGCCGCAGCUAACGCAUUAAGCGCCCCGCCUGGGGAGUACGGCCGCAAGGCUAAAACUCAAAGGAAUUGACGG